UCUCGCCUGCCCAGUGACUAAAUGUUAAACGGCCGUGGUAUCUUAACCAUGCGAAGGUAGCGUAAUCAUUUGUCUUUUAAAUGAAGACCUGUAUGAAUGGCAAAACGAGGGCUUAACUGUCUCCCUUCCCCAGUCAAUGAAAUUGACCUCCCCGUGCAGAGGCGGGGAUACAACUAUAAGACGAGAAGACCCUGUGGAGCUUUAGACUUAGAAUAACCCCAUAAAAUGAACUUUGAUACAAGAACAAACUUAGUGGAAUUUAUUUAAAUGUCUUUGGUUGGGGUGACCACGGGGCAAAACACAACCCCCACGAAGAUCAGGGAUAUAACCCUAACACUAAGAGAUACCCCUCUAAGUAACAAAAUUUUUGACUUUAAAAAUGAUCCGGUAUAACCGAUUAACGAACCCAGUUACCCCAGGGAUAACAGCGCAAUCCCCUCCCAGAGCCCUUAUCGACGAGGGGGUUUACGACCUCGAUGUUGGAUCAGGACAUCCUAAUGGUGCAGCCGCUAUUAAGGGUUCGUUUGUUCAACGAUUAAAGUCCU
rnacentral:rRNA from 1 species